CCGACGUGGAGUGACGUCACGCGCGGGACACACAGACAUUCUUGGCUCAUUAUAGCAGUAAACAUAAACAUCGCGCAGAAGGGACAGGCGAUGUCGGUCCACACUUCGCUGCGCUGGAAUUCUGCCGUCGAGCCGCGGGGUACGGGGCUCCUCCUCGAUGCCAGAGGUCGCAACCGGGUACCCGAUACCCGGCUACCCGUACCCGUUUGCGACCCUGGUGCGGCCGAGUACGGGUAGGCCGUGAGUCACUGUUGGUUGGCGAGUAAACCCAUGCAGGAAGAACUGUGGAGGCUCAAUUCCUUUGGCACGGACGGAACAAAAAGCUGCAAAAGUCGUGGACAGCCCCGACGCUUGCGAAUGAAUUUACACCAAGCGGCAGAAAGAGCAACACAUGGAUCGGAGGACACAUGCAGCAAGUUUGAGACAUCGCAUUGAAUGUUCACAGAAGUCGGGCUUGGGCAGGAAAACGUGAUGAUGAUGAUGCUCGCGAACUUUACGUGACACUAAAUCCGUUCGAAGGAUGAAUUGACACCCUGAACACCCAUCAUCAAAUGAGAUGCUCCAUCUCCAAGAAUUAUCCAGGUGAAGUGUUUUAAUGAAUUAAACUUGGAGAGCCUUUGUCCCAAGUGACGUAUAGGGGCCCUGAUUUUUAAAAAGGCGCUUGAAUUCACAUUAAACGGCACUAUCAAUGUCACGUGGGAUGUCUUUACAUUCAUCAAAAAAGAACAUCAACAGGCCGAUGGGCCGCAUCUCCUCCGUGAAUGGUCAAAAUUAUGUAUGUGUUUCUCUCUCUCUAUGUAUCUCUGUGAUAUAUGUCUGCUUAUAGGACUGCCUAUAUGUCUCUGGUUCUGUGUUUUAUCUCUCUCUCAAAUUUAGCAUUCUCAGGAAGAACGUAAUCAACCAGGCAGGGUGUUGACUGUUAU